rnacentral:rRNA from 1 species
GAUGAACGCUAGCGGGAGGCCUAAUACAUGCAAGUCGAGCGGUAACCUUCUUCGGGAGGCUAGAGUGGCGCACGGGUGAGUAACGCGUACAUGACCUACCUUUAAGACUGUGAUAGCCCUGGGAAACUGGGAUUAAUAACGGAUGUGAUAAUAGGUAUAAGGAUUUAUUAUUAAAGAUGAGUCGCUUAGAGAUGGGUGUGCGUCUGAUUAGCUAGUUGGUAGGGUAACGGCCUACCAAGGCGACGAUCAGUAGGGGGCGUGAGAGCGUGACCCCCCACACGGGUACUGAGACACGGACCCGACUCCUACGGGAGGCAGCAGUAAGGAAUAUUGGUCAAUGGACGGAAGUCUGAACCAGCCAUCCCGCGUGCAGGAUUAAGGUCCUAUGGAUUGUAAACUGCUUUUAGUAGAGAAGAAACGCAGUCAUUAAUGAUUGCCUGACGGUACCUACAGAAUAAGCACCGGCUAACUCCGUGCCAGCCGCCGCAGUAACAC